ACUAAAGGAAAUCUUGUGUAUCAAGUCACAUUAUUGACUUUGUUAUUUUAGUAAUACGUCUACAGAAAAUAUGGAUCCAAUGUGUCAUAAAAUUAUUCUAAAGAAUCCAGCAAAUAAAUUUAAAAAAUCUUCCCUUCUAUAGGUUUGUCUGCUUUUAAUUCUCCCAUACUUGUAUAAGGAUGUCCUUGUACACAGGACAGCUUACAUAAUAGGAAAUAUUUGAAAAUAUGUACCAUAUGGAUAAUUGCUAUUUUCAUUGACUUCUUAGGAUUUUAAUUUAUGAAACAAUAGAUAUCAGUUCAGUAUUUAUUGAUGGAUAAUAUAUUCAUUUACUAUAUAAAUUAGAUUGAUACCCUUAUUGUUACUUAAAGAGAUUUUGGUAGGGUCAACAGAGGUGUUUCAAAUUAUUCAUUUAGCAAAGGAUUUAUAAGAACCUAGUUGGUGCUAAGCACCAUCCUGUACUGAUAAUACAGAGAGAAAAUCCCCUAUCAAAAAGUAAAAAAAUCUUUGGAAAGGCAGUAAGAAUAUGUGAACAAUAGAGCCUUUAGCACAGGUACUUUGAGAGUAUAAUGACAAGUACCAUUUUAGAUAGUCUCACUAGCCUCAUCGUUUUUCUUGUAUAUAACUAUCAGCGUUCAGAGAAGCAGAACUAGGAUAUAUGUUUGUAAGGAAUUUGACUGCUGUUGUGGGAGCUGGUUAAGCUGGUCUCUGAAAGUCUUUUUUUACCUUGGUUUCUGAUGCAGGAGCUUGAAGUCCACAGAGCGGGCAGUAAAGAAGGCAAGGUGGAUGUAAAGUGGGAGACACAGGAACAAGUAGAAAUUGCAAGCACAGACUGAAACCCUUGUCCGUUUUUAUUACCUCUGACUUUGAUGAAAAGUCACUAUCAACAGUAGAGGACAGUUUGGAGAGGCAAAGCUUGUUCGGCUGCUGGAACGUUCUAGCGAAAAGACAUUGAAGACUUCUAAGGCCUUGGCAGUGUGGACGGAAAGGAAUUGAGAAACACUAAAGGUAACAGUGGGAUUGAGUGUAGAGAAUAUGGAAGAAGGGAAAAACGUGCGUCACAGCUUUCUUGCUUGAAAGAGAAGUGAAAGGGAGAUAUCCUCACUGUGAUUUGGAAUACAGGAUAAACUGUGAUUCAGGGAAGAAUAAGGCUCAGUGUAGAGCCAUGAAAGAACAUCGGUGUUUGAGAAAUGGUAGAUAAGGAGGAUUCUGCCAAAGAAAGAAUAGCCACUUACUGGAG